rnacentral:rRNA from 1 species
CGGACGGGUGAGUAAUGCUUGGGAAUCUGGCUUAUGGAGGGGGAUAACGACGGGAAACUGUCGCUAAUACCGCGUAGAAUCGAGAGAUGAAAGUGCGGGGCCGCAAGGCCGCAUGCCAUAGGAUGAGCCCAAGUGGGAUUAGGUAGUUGGUGGGGUAAAGGCCUACCAAGCCGACGAUCUCUAGCUGGUCUGAGAGGAUGACCAGCCACACCGGGACUGAGACACGGCCCGG